rnacentral:lncRNA from 1 species
CCACCAUUUGCUCUCUGCACGGGAUAUUUGUUAUCUUUUACAUCAUGUUGGGUUUCUUUUGUUUCUUUCCUAGCGCUGGUGUUCGUAAUAUUCAAUAUUUUGUGAAUAAAGAGAACUUCGUGAUUUGCAAAUUGUAAUGGAGUUUGGUAUUUGUAUUGUUCUUAAUUGAACUGGGUAUUAACGUUCAUUGCACAUGUGAAGAAU